rnacentral:rRNA from 1 species
GGGUUGUGAGGUUAAGCGACUAAGCGUACACGGUGGAUGCCCUGGCAGUCAGAGGCGAUGAAGGACGUGCUAAUCUGCGAUAAGCGUCGGUGAGGUGAUAUGAACCGUUAUAACCGGCGAUUUCCGAAUGGGGAAACCCAGUGUGAUUCGUCACACUAUCAUUAACUGAAUCCAUAGGUUAAUGAGGCGAACCGGGGGAACUGAAACAUCUAAGUACCCCGAGGAAAAGAAAUCAACCGAGAUUCCCCCAGUAGCGGCGAGCGAACGGGGAGCAGCCCAGAGCCUGAAUCAGUGUGUGUGUUAGUGGAAGCGUCUGGAAAGGCGCGCGAUACAGGGUGACAGCCCCGUACACAAAAAUGCACAUGCUGUGAGCUCGAUGAGUAGGGCGGGACACGUGGUAUCCUGUCUGAAUAUGGGGGGACCAUCCUCCAAGGCUAAAUACUCCUGACUGACCGAUAGUGAACCAGUACCGUGAGGGAAAGGCGAAAAGAACCCCGGCGAGGGGAGUGAAAAAGAACCUGAAACCGUGUACGUACAAGCAGUGGGAGCCUCUUUAUGGGGUGACUGCGUACCUUUUGUAUAAUGGGUCAGCGACUUAUAUUCUGUAGCAAGGUUAACCGAAUAGGGGAGCCGAAGGGAAACCGAGUCUUAACUGGGCGUUAAGUUGCAGGGUAUAGACCCGAAACCCGGUGAUCUAGCCAUGGGCAGGUUGAAGGUUGGGUAACACUAACUGGAGGACCGAACCGACUAAUGUUGAAAAAUUAGCGGAUGACUUGUGGCUGGGGGUGAAAGGCCAAUCAAACCGGGAGAUAGCUGGUUCUCCCCGAAAGCUAUUUAGGUAGCGCCUCGUGAAUUCAUCUCCGGGGGUAGAGCACUGUUUCGGCAAGGGGGUCAUCCCGACUUACCAACCCGAUGCAAACUGCGAAUACCGGAGAAUGUUAUCACGGGAGACACACGGCGGGUGCUAACGUCCGUCGUGAAGAGGGAAACAACCCAGACCGCCAGCUAAGGUCCCAAAGUCAUGGUUAAGUGGGAAACGAUGUGGGAAGGCCCAGACAGCCAGGAUGUUGGCUUAGAAGCAGCCAUCAUUUAAAGAAAGCGUAAUAGCUCACUGGUCGAGUCGGCCUGCGCGGAAGAUGUAACGGGGCUAAACCAUGCACCGAAGCUGCGGCAGCGACGCUGAUGCGUUGUUGGGUAGGGGAGCGUUCUGUAAGCCUGUGAAGGUGUGCUGUGAGGCAUGCUGGAGGUAUCAGAAGUGCGAAUGCUGACAUAAGUAACGAUAAAGCGGGUGAAAAGCCCGCUCGCCGGAAGACCAAGGGUUCCUGUCCAACGUUAAUCGGGGCAGGGUGAGUCGACCCCUAAGGCGAGGCCGAAAGGCGUAGUCGAUGGGAAACAGGUUAAUAUUCCUGUACUUGGUGUUACUGCGAAGGGGGGACGGAGAAGGCUAUGUUGGCCGGGCGACGGUUGUCCCGGUUUAAGCGUGUAGGCUGGUUUUCCAGGCAAAUCCGGAAAAUCAAGGCUGAGGCGUGAUGACGAAGCACUACGGUGCUGAAGCAACAAAUGCCCUGCUUCCAGGAAAAGCCUCUAAGCAUCAGGUAACAUCAAAUCGUACCCCAAACCGACACAGGUGGUCAGGUAGAGAAUACCAAGGCGCUUGAGAGAACUCGGGUGAAGGAACUAGGCAAAAUGGUGCCGUAACUUCGGGAGAAGGCACGCUGAUAUGUAGGUGAAGUCCCUUGCGGAUGGAGCUGAAAUCAGUCGAAGAUACCAGCUGGCUGCAACUGUUUAUUAAAAACACAGCACUGUGCAAACACGAAAGUGGACGUAUACGGUGUGACGCCUGCCCGGUGCCGGAAGGUUAAUUGAUGGGGUCAGCGCAAGCGAAGCUCUUGAUCGAAGCCCCGGUAAACGGCGGCCGUAACUAUAACGGUCCUAAGGUAGCGAAAUUCCUUGUCGGGUAAGUUCCGACCUGCACGAAUGGCGUAAUGAUGGCCAGGCUGUCUCCACCCGAGACUCAGUGAAAUUGAACUCGCUGUGAAGAUGCAGUGUACCCGCGGCAAGACGGAAAGACCCCGUGAACCUUUACUAUAGCUUGACACUGAACAUUGAGCCUUGAUGUGUAGGAUAGGUGGGAGGCUUAGAAGUGUGGACGCCAGUCUGCAUGGAGCCGACCUUGAAAUACCACCCUUUAAUGUUUGAUGUUCUAACGUUGACCCGUAAUCCGGGUUGCGGACAGUGUCUGGUGGGUAGUUUGACUGGGGCGGUCUCCUCCUAAAGAGUAACGGAGGAGCACGAAGGUUGGCUAAUCCUGGUCGGACAUCAGGAGGUUAGUGCAAUGGCAUAAGCCAGCUUGACUGCGAGCGUGACGGCGCGAGCAGGUGCGAAAGCAGGUCAUAGUGAUCCGGUGGUUCUGAAUGGAAGGGCCAUCGCUCAACGGAUAAAAGGUACUCCGGGGAUAACAGGCUGAUACCGCCCAAGAGUUCAUAUCGACGGCGGUGUUUGGCACCUCGAUGUCGGCUCAUCACAUCCUGGGGCUGAAGUAGGUCCCAAGGGUAUGGCUGUUCGCCAUUUAAAGUGGUACGCGAGCUGGGUUUAGAACGUCGUGAGACAGUUCGGUCCCUAUCUGCCGUGGGCGCUGGAGAACUGAGGGGGGCUGCUCCUAGUACGAGAGGACCGGAGUGGACGCAUCACUGGUGUUCGGGUUGUCAUGCCAAUGGCACUGCCCGGUAGCUAAAUGCGGAAGAGAUAAGUGCUGAAAGCAUCUAAGCACGAAACUUGCCCCGAGAUGAGUUCUCCCUGACUCCUUGAGAGUCCUGAAGGAACGUUGAAGACGACGACGUUGAUAGGCCGGGUGUGUAAGCGCAGCGAUGCGUUGAGCUAACCGGUACUAAUGAACCGUGAGGCUUAACCUUACAACGCCGAAG